ACUGAGAGCUCGUGUCUUAAGG
rnacentral:miRNA from 1 species